rnacentral:misc_RNA from 1 species
GUGAAUCAUCGAAUUUUUGAACGCAAAUUGCGCUUCCUAGCAUCCCGGGAAGUAUACCUGUUUGAGGGUCAGUAUUAACAACAAAGUCGGUUUGGUUGCAAAUUGUGACGUUUCCGGGGUUUGGGCUAUCUUAACCUGUUUGGUUAAGGGGCUUAAAAUUGACCUUUUUGGCGUAUUUUUAGACGUACAUAAAUUUUUUUUUUAUUCCUUUAUUAUUAUUGC